AAGAGGAGGAAAAUGAAGCCCGAGUUAGGAAGCCAGGUGCUGGAGGACUUUCCAGUUGAGAGAAGAUUGUCCUUAGAGGAAGGAACAGGUAGCGACCAAAGAAAAAACGAUGCUCCCUCUCCUUAAGGAACGGAUCAUUUCUUCUCAUUUAAAGACAAAACGAAGACAUGGAUGAGCUGGCUUCUAAUUGUUUUGAAUUACUCCUCGCUCCUGAAACGCACCCAAGCUGUGUCCAUUUUGUCUGUCACCAAGCAGCCCCACUAACUUCUUGCAUGAGUGUUUUCUUGCUGUUUCCUCAGAGAUGAAUGAAGCUUUCCAGAAAGUUCUACAAUUUAAAAAUCCAGUUCCAGACUUUCCUCCUCCCAGGAGUCUGCUUUAGCAAAAUAAAUGUGUUAGGCAGUA